rnacentral:rRNA from 1 species
ACAGGUGUUGCAUGGCUGUCGUCAGCUCGUGUCGUGAGAUGUUCGGUUAAGUCCGCUAACGAGCGCAACCCUCGUCGUAUGUUAUAUGUGUCAUACGAGACUGCCGGUAAAAGCCGGAGGAAGGUGAGGAUGAUGUCAAGUCAGCAUGACCUUUAUAUCCAGGGCUACACACACGCUACAAUGGUCUGUACAAUGGGUAGCCAAGCCGCGAGGCGGAGCCAAUCCUGAAAGCAGGCCUCAGUUCAGAUCGCAGGCUGCAACCCGCCUGCGUGAAGCCGGAGUUGCUAGUAACCGCAGGUCAGCUAUACUGCGGUGAAUACGUUCCCGGGUCUU